rnacentral:rRNA from 1 species
AACGAACGCUGGCGGCAUGCCUAACACAUGCAAGUCGAACGAGAUCUUCGGGUCUAGUGGCGCACGGGUGCGUAACGCGUGGGAAUCUGCCCUUUGGUUCGGAAUAACAGUUGGAAACGACUGCUAAUACCGGAUGAUGACGAAAGUCCAAAGAUUUAUCGCCAGAGGAUGAGCCCGCGUAGGAUUAGCUAGUUGGUGUGGUAAAGGCGCACCAAGGCGACGAUCCUUAGCUGGUCUGAGAGGAUGAUCAGCCACACUGGGACUGAGACACGGCCCAGACUCCUACGGGAGGCAGCAGUGGGGAAUAUUGGACAAUGGGCGAAAGCCUGAUCCAGCUAUGCCGCGUGAGUGAUAAAGGCCUUAGGGUUGUAAAGCUCUUUUACCCGGGAUGAUAAUGACAGUACCGGGAGAAUAAGCUCCGGCUAACUCCGUGCCAGCAGCCGCCGUAA